ACGGGGGGUGCAAGCGUUGUUCGGAAUCAUUGGGCGUAAAGAGCGUGUAGGCGGCUGGAUAAGUCAGAUGUGAAAGCCCCGGGCUUAACCCAGGAAGUGCAUUUGAAACUGUCUGGCUUGAGUAGGGGAGAGGGAAGUGGAAUUCCUGGUGUAGAGGUGAAAUUCGUAGAUAUCAGGAGGAACACCGGUGGCGAAGGCGACUUCCUGGCCCUAUACUGACGCUGAGACGCGAAAGCGUGGGUAGCAAACAG
rnacentral:rRNA from 1 species